UGCUUGGGUGGCUCAGUUGGUAGAGCACUUGCCCGCAAAAGGCAAAGGUCCCGAGUUCGAGUCUCGGUCCGGCAA
rnacentral:tRNA from 1 species